rnacentral:tRNA from 3 species
ACUAAUUUGGCAGACUAGUGCAUUAAAUUUAGAAUUUAAUAAAGUAAUAUUUUACAUUUAGUA